rnacentral:tRNA from 1 species
CGCGGCGUGGAGCAGCCUGGUAGCUCGUCGGGCUCAUAACCCGAAGGUCGUCGGUUCAAAUCCGGCCCCCGCAACCA